UACGUGAGGGAGCAAGCGUUGUCCGGAAUCAUUGGGCGUAAAGCGCGCGUAGGUGGCUUCGUAAGUCCGUUGUGAAAGUCAAAGGCUCAACCUUUGAAAGCCGAUGGAUACUGCGGAGCUAGAGUACGGAAGAGGCGAGUGGAAUUCCUGGUGUAGCGGUGGAAUGCGCAGAUAUCAGGAGGAACACCAAUAGCGAAGGCAGCUCGCUGGGACGUUACUGACACUGAGGCGCGAAAGCGUGGGAAGCGAACAGG
rnacentral:rRNA from 1 species